rnacentral:rRNA from 1 species
CGGUAACAGAUCUAGCUUGCUGGAUGCUGACGAGCGGCGGACGGGUGAGUAAUGCAUAGGAAUCUGCCCGAUAGUGGGGGAUAACCUGGGGAAACCCAGGCUAAUACCGCAUACGUCCUACGGGAGAAAGGGGGCUCCGGCUCCCGCUAUGGGAUGAGCCUAUGUCGGAUUAGCUAGUUGGUGAGGUAACGGCUCACCAAGGCCACGAUCCGUAGCUGGUCUGAGAGGAUGAUCAGCCACAUCGGGACUGAGACACGGCCCGAACUCCUACGGGAGGCAGCAGUGGGGAAUAUUGGACAAUGGGGGAAACCCUGAUCCAGCCAUGCCGCGUGUGUGAAGAAGGCCCUCGGGUUGUAAAGCACUUUCAGCGAGGAAGAACGCCUAGCGGUUAAUACCCGCUAGGAAAGACAUCACUCGCAGAAGAAGCACCGGCUAACUCCGUGCCAGCAGCCGCGGUAAUACGGAGGGUGCAAGCGUUAAUCGGAAUUACUGGGCGUAAAGCGCGCGUAGGUGGCUUGAUAAGCCGGUUGUGAAAGCCCCGGGCUCAACCUGGGAACGGCAUCCGGAACUGUCAAGCUAGAGUGCAGGAGAGGAAGGUAGAAUUCCCGGUGUAGCGGUGAAAUGCGUAGAGAUCGGGAGGAAUACCAGUGGCGAAAGGCGGCCUUCUGGACUG